rnacentral:sRNA from 4 species
UGUAUCUGAAACCUGACGAGGAUGAGAACCUCCGGGGGCAAGAGGUUCGACCCGAGCGAAGCGAGAGAAAACGUUGCGCCAGCAACGGCCCGCAGGGCGAGCCACCCUCUAUCACCGGCAG